rnacentral:rRNA from 1 species
UGGGGAAUAUUGCGCAAUGGGGGGAACCCUGACGCAGCCAUGCCGCGUGAAUGAAGAAGGCCUUCGGGUUGUAAAGUUCUUUCGGUAUUGAGGAAGGUUGAUGUGUUAAUAGCACAUCAAAUUGACGUUAAAUACAGAAGAAGCACCGGCUAACUCCGUGCCAGCAGCCGCGGUAAUACGGAGGGUGCGAGCGUUAAUCGGAAUAACUGGGCGUAAAGGGCACGCAGGCGGUUAUUUAAGUGAGGUGUGAAAGCCCCGGGCUUAACCUGGGAAUUGCAUUUCAGACUGGGUAACUAGAGUACUUUAGGGAGGGGUAGAAUUCCACGUGUAGCGGUGAAAUGCGUAGAGAUGUGGAGGAAUACCGAAGGCGAAGGCAACCCCUUGGGAAUGUACUGACGCUCAUGUGCGAAAGCGUGGGGAGCAAACAGGAUUAGAUACCCUGGUAGUCCACGCUGUAAACGCUGUCGAUUUGGGGGUUGGGGUUUAACUCUGGCGCCCGUAGCUAACGUGAUAAAUCGACCGCCUGGGGAGUACGGCCGCAAGGUUA